GACACAGGGGUCCUUAAAUACAGUGCGCUCCUAAUGAGUCACAAAGACUGUGUGCUCUUUACUGCAUCACAAAGAACAACUGAGAAACAAACAUGUCAUAAAGAACAACUGAGAACUAAAACAUGGCAACAAGCUCUGAAAUAAAUGAUUAAAAACCGGACGAAACUGACGACUUCCUUGCGGAUGUUACAACAAUAAAAAUAGUCACUUUAACUUAUAAAGACUGUCGAACGGAGGUCGGAGGAGGUAUGUCGAGAUUGUAGACAUAUUCCAUCAUUUCCAUCUUAAUUUCAAAGAAAUGGACGCAAGUAAUUUGGGAGGAAGGCGAUUUCCCACUGCUCAUUUCACUGUGUGGAUCUCCCUGGCUGAAUUCAUUUCAUCUGCCCAUGACGGCAGCUGGUGGAGCGGUGUGAUCCCUCAGCAGUGGUGACAGCAGCUGUUAGUGGGGCUGUCUCCGCCCAGCCAGGCUGACGAGGUCCUCUUCAUCAAACAUGCCGGCUCAUUAAUGCUGCAGGGAGCAGCAUGGCACCCGAAACACAGCGGCACCACCGCGGAGAAAAGGGAGCGUGCCAACUGGGGGUGAGUGUACUUGUGUCGCUCUGAAUGUGUGUGUGGUGAGCUGUGAGAAUUGAUUAACUUCCGUACGCCGUGAUGGGAGGGGAUCUUCAACAGGUUUACAAGAGUUCUGACAUUUUGACUUUGAAAACCACGCGUGGACAAAGAAAACAUACAGCCAGCUGCUUUCUUCAAUCCAUCGAAUGAGCAUCUACAGUACAUUUUCAAUGUAUUUAUGUAGGAAUAAAGAAGCAGUCUCACCAGUUCAAGAACAUGCUGCAGCUCAUGUUCUUGAUUACUGGAUGAAAAGACAUCAGUGUGAAAAAGUAGGGAAGCUACAUUUUCAUUAAAAAAAAAGGAGGAAGGGGACCCUGCCACGAUACAUCAAGAAGUAGAACUGGAUUUAUUGCAGGUCAUUAUUAUUAACGUAGGUAAAAUUAAACAUGUAUUUUUGUAUUUAAUCUUAUUUUAUAUUAAGCAUUGUUGAAAUGUCAGUAACAAAUAAUUUUUGUUAAGUUUUUUUUUUAAAUUAAAUGUAAAAAAAAAAUAUUAAAAACUACAAAUCUGAAUAAUAAUUGGUUUAAUGUUAUUAUGUUAUUAUGUUUAGUGUUAUUCUACAGUUUUGAUGUAUGUUCCAUGCCUGAAUGUGCGUCUUUAGUUGUAUGGGGGACGGGAAACUGAUAAGCAUAUGCUUCAUCUCGUCCGCCUUUGACGUCUUCUGCGGUUUCUUCGGGCAAAUCAUAUCACAUUUUGUAACUGUCAAUGAUUGUCAAUGAUACCGAUGAUGAUGACAAUAAAAUUCACAUUAAAAGAAAAAAAAUGCUGUAAGUUUUAGUUUAUUUAAGAAAAAAAAAAAAGAAAUAUGAUAAACUUAAAAAAAAAAAAAAAAGAAAAAUAAUUGGUUUCUACUUUUUGUCCUCAGUUUUCUCAGAUUGUUUUGGCCUAAUUUUUUUUUUUUGGGCACAUCCCUAUUUCAAAUGCAGGAUGUGUCACAUCGUAGGAGUAGAAUUUCAACGUGAACCGAAAAACAACUAAAAAGAACAGGAAUUAUUCUUUCAUUCAUCCAUCACACAUGCCGUCUACAAAGCAAAAAUAUAUGUCACAUACUCGAUCAAAUAUGGAAAAUAUAAAUUCACAUACUUUAAUAGAAUAAUUGGUCACAUCACUGAGUAUCUUAAAGUGAUCCUCGAUCUUUCAGACAAGUAAUUAUUAAAAGAUAAAUAUUAGUAUGAGUUAUAAUAAUUUGAUAUUAAAACCCCUCUUAAUGUUUUCGUUUUAAUAAAAUUAGUAAAAUUAUUUAAGUGAUAGGUCGCCAUUCUUGUUACGUCGCAGUCACCGGGCCAAACUUCCAGCGUGUCACUCUUAGCUACCCCAACAUAUCGUCGGUUCUGCCCUUCCAAUUUGAACCAGAUCGGAAAAGUGAAGAGCAGGACAGCACUGUCGGGUGUUCACAAGACGAGCAGCAAAGGCAAAAUGAGAACAGGAAAUACAGUACCUUAUAAGAGAAGAAUUGGGCAAAACUGGUGAUGUACUCGCUGCAAGUGUGUCUCAAUGAUAACGGAGAACUCCGGUUUUUGUUGGCAGAUCUUCAAGGUGAGAUAUAGCGUUUUCAAACUUAUCCCAGUAUAAAUAUGUAGAUUGUUAGUGUCCAGAGCUGUCGUAUGCUUUACAUACAGUACAAGCCAACAGUUUGACGGGAACAAAUCCUGGAAUCGAGUGUAAUCCAUGUCUUGUACAUUGUAACGCGUGGUAGGUAGGAUAUGUGCAACAUAGUACCAAAAAGGGGAGAAGCUUCCACUUAUGCACAUUUAUUCACACAAAAAAUAAUAUUUUCACCUUGACCACUCGGGAGCUCAGCGGUACGCACACACGCGUUCCCAGACGAACUCCAACAUAAAAGUAAGGUCCAUGUCAGAGUCACUGUCGUCACUGUAGCGUGCCAUAGUGCUUUAAUUAUCUGGCAUGAUUUGGGGA